GACGAACCGUGCGAACGUUGUUCGGAUUCACUGGGCUUAAAGGGCGCGUAGGCGGCUUGCCAAGUCAGGGGUGAAAUCUUUCGGCUUAACCGGAAAAGUGCUUCUGAUACUGGCGGGCUGGAGGGAGGUAGGGGCAGACGGAACUUCCGGUGGAGCGGUGAAAUGCGUAGAUAUCGGAAGGAACGCCGGUGGCGAAAGCGGUCUGCUGGACCUCUUCUGACGCUGAGGCACGAAAGCCAGGGGAGCAAACGGG
rnacentral:rRNA from 1 species